GCGAUUCUGGAACCAGAUCUUCACCUGGGUCUCAUUGAGCUGCAGGGACGCGGCUAUCUCCACCCUGCGCGCUCGUGUUAGGGGCCAUAAGGCGCACUGAAGUUCUGCGCGCCAUAGCUUGGACCACAACUCGAGUGGGAAUAAGAAACCCCAAGGUUCCCAGAAGUCUGGACCAGAGAAGAAAAAUGAUAUGAAUGUACAGUGCGCAAGAGGCGGGGCGGGCAGGCGGAGGGCUGGAGGGGAAGGACACGUGACUUUGUCAGCCAAUGGCUGAGCCGCUUGCGAAAGUUUACCGGCGGCGGCCGUGAUGGAUCACCGUUUCAGUGGCAUUUAAAUCCCCGGCGCUCCUCAGUGUAGGUGACGCGCGCUCGCCCCCCCAGGCAGCACGGGCCGCGGCGGUUGCUGCAGCGGCUCCCGGAGCUGAUUUCGAGCACUGGGACCAAAGGGAGUCGAGACUGCCUUCUGCGCGCGCCCGGCUCUGCGCGCCUCCGCCUCCAGAAGUGAGGGGGGAUGGGAGGCACCCUCCGCGGCCCCUUCUCCACCCAGCCCAGAAAGCUGAACUGGCAAGAGGUCUGUUUUUCCUGAACCCAUCCACAGCUGGGAGAUUAAUCAACCACACUGAAAAUGGGGGGAGGGAAAGGAAGAGUUGUAAUGUAGAUGUUUGAAACAAAUGUGUACAAAUAAAUGAAUUUUUGAUAACUUUGUUAUUGACCUAGAGACUAGUAGCUUGGUAAGAGAACUCCACUUCACCCAUCCUAAAGCUCUGAAGUUUCUGUAGGCACUUUACUUCUCCACUUUCAAAAGCUUGGGCUAGGGCCAACUCAGGCUGCCCAAGCCUGUUUCUAUUACUAAUUUAACUCUAUGGCUUGAGUCUCAACACUG